AUAAACUGUUGGAUUACCUACAUGAGAGGGAAGAUUCCUGAGCUUGUAGAAUCUGAAUUGAUUCCCUGGCUAGAAAGAUCUUAAACUGUGCUAUGGUCACGUGACUUCUACUUCUCUCUCAACUGGAUACGCUGAGUGGCAAAACAAAUUUCCUGGAAGUAAUCGAGUCAAAAGCAUGCAUAGUGAUUUCAAGAAAUUGCAAAAGCUGAAUGCAGAUGUG